CUCUGUGAAUGUGUACACAAAAGAUUGCCUGAAAAUUGGUGUAAAUUGAUCAUAGUAACGUGUGGUUUGGUGGCUGUCAUAAACAUGCCAAACCAGCCUUCCAAGGGCUUGCAAUUGUCUUCUGUCAGGUCAAAUAUCUGGCCGGCCCUUCCAUCCCCACCAUCAUGAGCAGAGCUGUACACAAAUACUUUACAAACACAGUAGAAUUCAUGCUGAAAAUGCCAAUACAAAAUUGAAGCCAUUUGAGAAAGACUUGAGGUUAAACUUACACCAAGUAUUGCCAAAUAAAUGAUUUCCUCUUCCAUCAGAGCACAACACAUGCAGGAACACAAGGCAGCAGCAGCAGCAGCAUGGUUACACUGACUAGCCCUUCAUGGCAGUUACAACAACUUCCUUUAAGGAGGUUUGGGGAGCAAUGUCAACAUCUUAGGUCCAAGUUUGUUGUCCUCCCCAUCCUCUUCCCUCAGGCAGUGUGCAGUGUGCCGCAGGCAGACCAAGACGCCAGAGAUGUCCGUUCAGCCAUUCAAUUCUGCCGAGGGAAAGAAGUCGUGUUAGUCAACUCUGAUGACUUGUACUUUUCUCUGUGGACUCUGCUGUAAGCCAGUCACGGAAGAUGUGAACUGUAUCUGUACUAUGAAGUCUUAUAAAUAAACUUAAGGGCCACA